ensembl:misc_RNA Metazoa_SRP Metazoan signal recognition particle RNA
GCCGGGCAUGGUAGUGCAUGCCUGUAAUCCCAGCUACUCAGGAGACUGAGGCAGGAGAAUCGCUUGAACCCAGGAAGCUUAGGUUGCAGUGAGCCAAGAUCGCACCACUGCAUUCCAGCCUGGGUGACAGAGCAAGACUCUGUCUCAA